UGAGGAAUAUUGGUCAAUGGACGAGAGUCUGAACCAGCCAAGGAGCGUGCAGGAUGACGGCCCUAUGGGUUGUAAACGGCUGUUGGUUGGGAAUAAUCGACAUUACGUGUAAUGUUUUGCAUGUACCAUUCGAAUAAGGACCGGCUAAUUCCGUGCCAGCAGCCGCGGUAAUACGGAAGGUCCAGGCGUUAUCCGGAUUUAUUGGGUUUAAAGGGAGUGUAGGCGGUUGGUUAAGCGUGUUGUGAAAUGUAGAUGCUCAACAUCUGACUUGCAGCGCGAACUGGCUGACUUGAGUACACACAACGUAGGCGGAAUUCAUGGUGUAGCGGUGAAAUGCGUAGAUAUUAAAAAGAAUACCGGUGGCGAAGGCGACUUACUGGGCUCAUUCUGACGCUGAGGAACGAAAGCGUGGGUAGCAAACAGG
rnacentral:rRNA from 1 species